rnacentral:rRNA from 1 species
UUACCCUACGGGGGGCAGCAGUGAGGAAUAUUGGUCAAUGGGCGAGAGCCUGAACCAGCCAAGUCGCGUGAGGGAGUACUGCCCUAUGGGUUGUAAACCUCUUUUGUCGGGGAGCAAAAGCCGGACGUGUCCGGCUGUGAGAGUACCCGAAGAAAAAGCAUCGGCUAACUCCGUGCCAGCAGCCGCGGUAAUACGGAGGAUGCGAGCGUUAUCCGGAUUUAUUGGGUUUAAAGGGUGCGUAGGCGGAAUAUCACGUCAGCGGUAAAAAUUCGGGGCUCAACCCCGUCGUGCCGUUGAAACUGAUG